rnacentral:rRNA from 1 species
GAUGAACGCUAGCUACAGGCUUAACACAUGCAAGUCGAGGGGCAGCGGGAUUGAAGCUUGCUUCAAUUGCCGGCGACCGGCGCACGGGUGAGUAACGCGUAUCCAACCUUCCGUUUACUCAGGGAUAGCCUUUCGAAAGAAAGAUUAAUACCUGAUAGUAUGGUGAGAUUGCAUGAUAGCACCAUUAAAGAUUUAUUGGUAAACGAUGGGGAUGCGUUCCAUUAGGUAGUAGGCGGGGUAACGGCCCACCUAGCCGACGAUGGAUAGGGGUUCUGAGAGGAAGGUCCCCCACAUUGGAACUGAGACACGGUCCAAACUCCUACGGGAGGCAGCAGUGAGGAAUAUUGGUCAAUGGACGAGAGUCUGAACCAGCCAAGUAGCGUGAAGGAUGACUGCCCUAUGGGUUGUAACUUCUUUAUACGGGAAUAAGUGAGGCACGUGUGCUUUUGUAUGUACCGUAUGAAUAAGGAUCGGCUAACU